GGUCCUUGGAAAUUAAGAAUGUGGGGAGUCUGUGCUCCUUUUCUCCUUCCUGUUCUUGCCUCUGCUCCAGCGCAGCCUGGCAGAGUGGCUCCGAGGCUCUACCCGCAGCGGCUUGUCGGUUGAUUCAUUAAAUGUGCCCCGCCACCACCUACAUGUGCCGUCAGAUAACCUAUCCUGUUUGGAGGCCAUGCCCAGCAUGAGAAGGAGUCUUAUUGGUUUUCAUUGAUGACAGGCACCGUUCUCCACUUUUCUUACCCUUUUAUUGAAACGGCCGUGAAAACCCAAGUGGAGAACGCACUGUUAAAAGGGCUGAAAAGGCUGCAGGAGUUCAGAGCCAUUGACAUUGGUCUUUAAAAUGAAGAUAUACUUUUACUGAAGGAACGUAAAGAUUUGGGUAUCCUCAGAGGUGCUGUGGGACUUGAAAGCGGUAGAAAUUUUGCCUUGGAUGAUAUGAAAGACAGUCUCCAAAUGAACAGCCCCUGAUUUGCAGACCUAGUGAGAGCAGCCGCCUUGGCAUUGGAACAAGCUGAAAAGUUCUCCCUUCCUCAAACCAUUCCUCACAUCCCCACAUUCAGUUUUGCUUAGUUGUUUUAAGUGGUUUCUGGCCUGACUUUUUUUUUCCCCCCCGCCAGGAUGGAAGCACCCAAGUAGCUGAGAAAAUCAUGAAAUCUUCUCAUUGGUACAACUUUCAUUAUCAUUUGUGUUAUAGUGCGAGGCAAGGCUGAGCAGACAUUUCUCAAGUGCACUGCAACUUGACUUCUGAAAGUUAAAAGAGAAACAGGUCUGAACAACUGGGUUCCCUGUUUCAACUGGUGACAUCACCACACAUCCGUGUGCUCAAGGCAGAAACCCAAGAGCAAUCUUGAGUCCCUUUUACUCAUUCCCCACAGCUUGUCCAUCAACAACAUCUGUUACCUUUUCUUCUAACACACAUCCAAAAUCCACCUACUGUCAUCUCUACCACCCUAACCCGGGCACCAUCGUCCUUUACCUGGUUACCUGCAAUCCCCCCUAAUCUCUUCUAAUCUCAUUACCAAUUUCCACCACCCCCAGUCCAUUCUUCACACAACCACCAAAAUAUUUGUUCAAAGCGUAAGUUAGGUUCUAUAACCUCUCGAUCCAGAACCACUGGUUGUCUUCCCAUAACAUCACUGAGCCCUGCAAGACCCUACAUGAUCUGGAUUCGUCUGGGACACCCUCUACCCCUCUACUCACUAUCAUCUGCCCCACUGUCUGUCUUCAAUCUGCCAAGUUUGGACCUGCGUAGGGCCCCUCUACAAGUUGUUCCCUUUACCUGGAACCCUCCUCCCUUAAGUAUUUGCGGAGCUGGACCUCUUGUUUAGGUCUAAACUUACCUCCUCACACAGGCCUUUCCUUCACCUUCCCAACUGAAGUAGCAUCCUAUUACUCCCUAUCACAUCAUCCUGAUUCAGUUUUAUCACAACCUUCCUCGUUAUUGCUGUAUUCUUGUAUCUUUCUUCUUUUGUUUAUUGACUGUCUCCCCCUGCUAAUAUGUAAACUCCACGAAAGUAAAAAUUUUAUCUUUCUUGUGGGGUCACUGUACGGUCUUCAAUGCAUGAGUGAAUAAAUACAUGAAUAAAUGGGUUCCUUUGGUACCAAGGCUGUUACCAUCUUGUCUCAGGUACACCAAAACAGGAAGG